GAGUUUGAUCUUGGCUCAGAUUGAACGCUGGCGGCAGGCCUAACACAUGCAAGUCGAGCGGAUGACGGGAGCUUGCUCCUUGAUUCAGCGGCGGACGGGUGAGUAAUGCCUGGGAAUCUGCCUGGUAGUGGGGGACAACGUUUCGAAAGGAACGCUAAUACCGCAUACGUCCUACGGGAGAAAGCAGGGGACCUUCGGGCCUUGCGCUAUCAGAUGAGCCUAGGUCGGAUUAGCUAGUUGGUGGGGUAAUGGCUCACCAAGGCGACGAUCCGUAACUGGUCUGAGAGGAUGAUCAGUCACACUGGAACUGAGACACGGUCCAGACUCCUACGGGAGGCAGCAGUGGGGAAUAUUGGACAAUGGGCGAAAGCCUGAUCCAGCCAUGCCGCGUGUGUGAAGAAGGUCUUCGGAUUGUAAAGCACUUUAAGUUGGGAGGAAGGGCAGUAAGUUAAUACCUUGCUGUUUUGACGUUACCGACAGAAUAAGCACCGGCUAACUCUGUGCCAGCCG
rnacentral:rRNA from 1 species